AGCCAGACUCCUACGGGAGGCAGCAGUGGGGAAUAUUGCACAAUGGGGGGAACCCUGAUGCAGCGACGCCGCGUGAGUGAAGAAGUGUUUCGGUAUGUAAAGCUCUAUCAGCAGGGAAGAAGAUGACGGUACCUGACUAAGAAGCCCCGGCUAACUACGUGCCAGUAGCCGCGGUAAUACGUAGGGGGCAAGCGUUAUCCGGAUUUACUGGGUGUAAAGGGAGCGUAGACGGCAGGGCAAGUCUGGAGUGAAAGCCCGGGGCCCAACCCCGGGACUGCUUUGGAAACUGCCAUGCUAGAGUGCUGGAGAGGUAAGCGGAAUUCCUAGUGUAGCGGUGAAAUGCGUAGAUAUUAGGAGGAACACCAGUGGCGAAGGCGGCUUACUGGACAGUAACUGACGUUGAGGCUCGAAAGCGUGGGGAGCAAACAGGAUUAGAUACCCCUGUAG
rnacentral:rRNA from 1 species